rnacentral:rRNA from 1 species
AUUGAACGCUGGCGGCAGGCCUAACACAUGCAAGUCGAACGAGUGGCGGACGGGUGAGUAAUGUCUGGGAAACUGCCUGAUGGAGGGGGAUAACUACUGGAAACGGUAGCUAAUACCGCUUACCCUCAGUUGUGCCCACAUGGGAUGAGCUUGUUGGUGGGGUAACGGCUCACAAAGGCGACGAUCCCUAGCUGGUCUGAGAGGAUGACCGGCAAAACUGGAACUGAGACACGGUCCAGACUCCUACGGGAGGCAGCAGUGGGGAAUAUUGCACAAUGGGCGAAAGCCUGAUGCAGCCAGGCCGCGUGUAUGAAGAAGGCCUUCGGAUUGUAAAGUACUUUCAGCGGGGAGGCGGUACCCAAAGAAGAAGCACCGGCUAACUCCGUGCCAGCAGCCGCGGUAAUAC